rnacentral:tRNA from 1 species
GUAAUAGCUCAGUGGUAGAGCGCAUGCUUAACACGUAUGAGGUUCUGAGUUCAAUCCCCAGUACUUACA